UGCCAAGAACAGUUAUGAGUGGACGGUGCUCGCGGCGAAAAAAUACCUCGGUCCGUAUCGCCUCGAUCCUGUGAUCGCGACCCGCGGUGAAAGAUGCUGGCUGUCGAGACGUGGAUACAACUGUGAUCAUAUAAAUUUAAGUCUAAAUUUGAAUCCAAGAGCGAGGAUCUUCUGCGUGAAGUUUCUUACGAUUCCAUCAUCUAAGAAGAUGCAUCGUUGGAUUAAAAAUUUCGGUGUUCCUCGCGAAGGAAUUAAAACGAGUUAUCCGAAGAUAACCGAAUUGCCUAAUGUCUGUCUGAUGUCUAAUUGCCUCUAAUCUAUCGAUUGUCUAACAGCAGAAUACGUCAUUAAUUCCAUGAAUAUUGAUGGUGCUUUUUUAGUGCGUCUUGGUUUCUGUGGAAAUUACAUAAUUGUUUACAUUGCAUAUGGAUUACAUUUCUUAAUGCAUCGUUAUCUAAUUAAUAAUAAAUUAAAAUAAAUAAUAAUAAGGUAAAUGGUAACAAGAUAAUAUAAUAUGUGUAGUAACGUUAAUUAGUAUAAAUAUGGAUGUAGCGAUAGACCACGUAAUUAAUUCUAGAUAACUGAAAUAUAGUAAUAAACGACUAAAGGGCGCAAAAAAAACCAAUUGAAGGAACGAAUAAUCAUCGCCACGUCAAUUAAGGAGAAACGUUCAUAGUUUGAUUUAGAAAAAAAGAAAAAAGUAUGAAAAUAAUCUUGCUCGAAACUGAAAGAUGAUAAAUCAUAACAUGAUAAUCUGAUAACCUUGAAUAACAACGUAUAAUGUUUGACGAAGACUGAUAUACGCAACGUGGUGAUUAUCGUUUAACGACUGAUUACAUCUUUGAAUGUCAAUCAAAAUUCUUUGAAAAUAAAUUGACAAGAUCAACGACUUGACACGGAAAAAUAAAAUGCCACGCUAACAAUUGAAUUUGGGUCAGUUCACACUUCACACGCGAAACCUCUGUAAACCUUCGGAAGUAUGUACGUAUUUAAUUUAUCUUUAAUCUUGAGAGGUUUGUAACAUUCGUAGAUAUUUACUACAUUGUUAAACAGCACAAAUAUGCUUCUGUUUAUACGUACAUCAGUUUACACAAUUAUUAAUACUAAAACUAAAGAGUAAUAAGAAUAAGCAAUUUGUAAUUUUUUAGUAAUUUGAAUAAUUUCUUGCAAAUUGCUUGUUUAUAAUGUAAACUUGUUUUCUACCUUGCAAUUAGGUUUAUAUUUUUUCACGUAUUUUCCAUCUUCAUUUCGUUGGUAAAAACUGUGUACGUUGCCAUUAUGUUAUUGUUCAGUGUUAUACAGGGUGGUUGGUAACUGGUGGUACAAGCGGAAAAAAGAAGUCGAAAAUAUAGAAUAAAUUUUACUUUAAAAAAAUUUUAAUUUUUUAUACUUUAAAUUUACAUUACUAAAUUUAAUAUAAAUUUUAUAUAUUAUAUAUAUUUUAUAAUAUAAUAUAAAUUUUUUUAAUUUUAAUAUAAAUUUAGUAAUAUAAAUUUAAAGUAUAAAAAGUAUAAGGUAUUAAAUUUUUAUUAAAUAUUAAAUACUUUAAAUGUAUAUUAAAUUUAAAUUUAUAAUACUAUAAAUUUUUUUUUAGAAAAAAUUUUUCGUUUGAGGCUUUGUUUUCGAGAAAAUCGACUUUGAAUUUUCGCUCGGUACGCGUGCACUUUAUCACGUCUCGUUAUAACGGAUCUCACUGUAGAUCGUUGUCUCGAUGGAAAAAUUAAAAAAAAAAAUUUUUUAUUCUAUAUUUUCGACUUCUUUUUUCGCGUAGAAUCACCCCCUUUCCGCUUGUACCAUCAGUUACCAACCACCCUGUAUAUAGUUGCUAAGUGUUAUAAAUUUUUGUUAUCCAAUUAUGCCAAUAGCGGCACACGAUGAUUUCUACAUAGGAUAGCUGAUGAACAAUGUGCUAAAAUCUGCUGUCUGUUCGGAACAUGCCUUUCGUGUUCUUGCCAAUGCGCCACAAGGAAGUUCGAUUACGGAUUCGCGGGAAAUCGAUUUAAAACGUAUAGAAACAUUCAAAGACGAUGGUCGCGUGAUAUUUGCAGAAAUACUGAAACGUAGAAACGUCAUUCUGAUAAGCGUAGAAGCAUUCUGAGACGUACUUUUUUAACGAUGUAAACGAUGUUAUUUAUACACGGUGAUCCAACAAUAACCACGCUUAUUAUUACAGACAUGAAAAAAGGUC